rnacentral:pre_miRNA from 1 species
GCGCACCACUCCCACGGUGCGCCAUUAGUAAAAAAAGUUUAUUUAAUUUUUUUUCAAAACUACUAAUGGCGCACCGUGGGAGUGGUGCGC